rnacentral:rRNA from 1 species
UACGGAGGGAGCUAGCGUUGUUCGGAAUUACUGGGCGUAAAGCGCACGUAGGCGGCUUUGUAAGUUAGAGGUGAAAGCCCCGGGGCUCAACUCCGGAACUGCCUUUAAGACUGCAUCGCUUGAAUCCAGGAGAGGUGAGUGGAAUUCCGAGUGUAGAGGUGAAAUUCGUAGAUAUUCGGAAGGAAACACCCAGUGGCGGAAGGGACG